GACACGGCCCAGACUCCUACGGGAGGCAGCAGUGGGGAAUCUUCCGCAAUGGGCGAAAGCCUGACGGAGCAACGCCGCGUGAACGAUGAAGGUCUUAGGAUCGUAAAGUUCUGUUGUUAGGGACGAAGGGUAAGAAUCAUAAUAAGGUUUUUAUUUGACGGUACCUAACGAGGAAGCCACGGCUAACUACGUGCCAGCAGCCGCGGUAAUACGUAGGCGGCAAGCGUUGUCCGGAAUUAUUGGGCGUAAAGGGAGCGCAGGCGGGAAACUAAGCGGAUCUUAAAAGUGCGGGGCUCAACCCCGUGAGGGGGUCCGAACUGGUUUUCUUGAGUGCAGGAGAGGAAAGCGGAAUUCCCAGUGUAGCGGUGAAAUGCGUAGAUAUUGGGAAGAACACCAGUGGCGAAGGCGGCUUUCUGGACUGUAACUGACGCUGAGGCUCGAAAGCUAGGGUAGCGAACGGGAUUAGAUACCCCGGUAGUCCUAGCCGUAAACGAUGGAUACUAGGUGUGGGAGGUAUCGACCCCUUCCGUGCCGGAGUUAACGCAAUAAGUAUCCCGCCUGGGGAGUACGGCCGCAAGGUUGAAACUCAAAGGAAUUGACGGGGGCCCGCACAAGCGGUGGAGUAUGUGGUUUAAUUCGACGCAACGCGAAGAACCUUACCAGGUCUUGACAUUGAUGGACAGAACUAGAGAUAGUUCCUCUUCUUCGGAAGCCAGAAAACAGGUGGUGCACGGUUGUCGUCAGCUCGUGUCGUGAGAUGUUGGGUUAAGUCCCGCAACGAGCGCAA
rnacentral:rRNA from 1 species